rnacentral:rRNA from 1 species
CCUACGGGAGGCAGCAGUAGGGAAUUUUCGUCAAUGGGCGCAAGCCUGAACGAGCAAUGCCGCGUGAACGAGGAAGGUCUUCGAAUCGUAAAGUUCUUUUGAAGGGGAAAAAGAGCGGAGAGAGGAAAUGGUCUCCGAUUGAUAUUACCCUUCGAGGAAGUCACGGCUAACUACGUGCCAGCAGCCGCGGUAAUACGUAGGUGGCGAGCGUUAUCCGGAAUGAUUGGGUGUAAAGGGUGCGUAGACGGGAAAGCAAGUUAGUUGUGAAAUCCCUCGGCUUAACUGAGGAACUGCAACUAAAACUA